GAUGAACGCUAGCUACAGGCUUAACACAUGCGAGUCGAGGGGUAACGAGAGGGAAGCUUGCUUUCCUUGUCGACGACCGGCGGAUGGGUGAGUAACGCGUAUCCAACCUGCCCUUCAGUAAGGGAUAGCCUUUCGAAAGAAAGAAUAAUACCUUAUGUGAUCGUUUGAUGACAUCAGACGACGAUGAAAGAUUUAUCGCUGAAGGAUGGGGAUGCGUCCCAUUAGGCAGUAGGCGGGGUAACGGCCCACCUAACCUACGAUGGGUAGGGGUUCUGAGAGGAAGGUCCCCCACAUUGGAACUGAGACACGGUCCAAACUCCUACGGGAGGCAGCAGUGAGGAAUAUUGGUCAAUGGCCGUAAGGCUGAACCAGCCAAGUAGCGUGCAGGAUGACGGCCCUAUGGGUUGUAAACUGCUUUUAAACGGGGAUAAAGUGAGCCACGUGUGGUUUAUUGCAGGUACCGUUUGAAUAAGGACCGGCUAAUUCCGUGCCAGCCGCCGCCGUAAAAC
rnacentral:rRNA from 1 species